UGGGGCGUCGCCAAGUGGUAAGGCAGCGGACUUUGAAUCCGCCAUUCGUAGGUUCGAAUCCUUCCGCCCCAG
rnacentral:tRNA from 1 species